rnacentral:tRNA from 1 species
GACUGGAUAGCCUAGUGGUAAAGGCAUCACAUUGACAAUGCUGAGGUCCCAGGUUCAAACUCUGGUCUAGUCA